UGGGCACUCUAAGGGUGACUGCCGGUGACAAACCGGAGGAAGGUGGGGAUGACGUCAAAUCAUCAUNCCCCUUAUGACCUGGGCUACACACGUGCUACAAUGGCCGGUACAACGGGAGGCGAAGCCGCGAGGCGGAGCGAAUCCUUAAAAGCCGGUCUCAGUUCGGAUUGCAGGCUGCAACUCGCCUGCAUGAAGUCGGAAUUGCUAGUAAUCGCGGAUCAGCAUGCCGCGGUGAAUACGUUCCCGGGCCUUGUACACACCNCCNGUCACACCACGAGAGUUUGUAACACCCGAAGUCGGUGAGGUAACCCGCAAGGGAGCCAGCCGCCGAAGGUGGGACAAAUGAUUGGGGUGAAGUCGUAACAAGGUAGCCGUAUCGGAAGGUGCGGCUGGAUCACCUCCU
rnacentral:rRNA from 1 species